ACGCGAUCGUAGCACUAUAAAAACCAAAACCACUUUCCUUCAUUCUUAACAAUUUUUUCUCUCUUCUCUCUGCACCUCUUUCUUCUCUCUUUCUCGGUUCUUUCUCACUCUUAUUCUUUCAAAUUCCCAAAUCAAUUUUUUCUCAAUUAAAUUAACAACAAAUUCUCUAUUUUUAAAUCAACAAAAAAAAGCAUGGAAGUAAAAUAUUAUGAAAAGGAAAGAAAGAAUGGUCACCGGCGGCAAAAGAGGAGCUCUGGCGCAGGGAGAGAGCAAAUUCGCAGCGGAGGAAGUGGUGAUGAGUGGCGGCGGAUGCAGUAAAAGUGACUCAGUGGUUCGCCGUAUUUGCAGCGGCAACGAGAGCUCCUUUUCUUUAUUAUUCUGCUCCUUCUAUGUUUCUUUUUCCCUUUCAAUUUGAUUUUGUUUCUAUUCUUCUUUGCUUUGAUUUUUCUUCUUUUUGAUGUUAUUGUUUUUGACAGUGGGUUUUUGAUUUUAUGGGUGGUUUGUAUUGGUGGUGAUAUGUUGAAGAUGGUGGCUGGUGUGUGAUUGGUAAUGAAGGUGUUGGUGGAUGGUGGAGAGAAGGCGCAGUAAUGGGGUUGCGGCCGUUGUUAUUAUUUUCUCUCCCCCCC
rnacentral:lncRNA from 1 species